rnacentral:rRNA from 1 species
UACGUAGGGUGCGAGCGUUGUCCGGAAUUACUGGGCGUAAAGAGCUCGUAGGUGGUUUGUCGCGUUGUCCGUGAAAACUCACAACUCAAUUGUGGGCGUGCGGGCGAUACGGGCAGACUGGAGUACUGCAGGGGAGACUGGAAUUCCUGGUGUAGCGGUGGAAUGCGCAGAUAUCAGGAGGAACACCGGUGGCGAAGGCGGGUCUCUGGGCAGUAACUGACGCUGAGACGCGAAAGCGUGGGGAGCAAACAGG